CCCCCCGGCACUCGUGUGAGGGCGAGGGCGUGAAGAGAGAGACGGGCGCUGACCCGGCGCAGCUGAGAAGGGCGAGCGGUUUGGUGCUAGGCUCUUGCCGCGCGCGGUACCGCCUGUUGUCCAGCCGCCGCCGCCGCCGCCACCCCGGCGACGACGACGGCGCCUUCUUCAGCCGCCGCCGCGUCAUGUGGGCCUCGCGCAGCGUGCGCCCCCUGCUCGACGCGUCGAAGGCCCGGACGGAGGCGACCUACACGUAGCUGGUGUGCCUGCCCGGCGCGAGGCGCCCGAGGACCCGCCAGAAGAAGGACGAGCGGCAGCGGCGCGGCCGGCGCCAGUGGGACCGGGAGGGCCGGAGCCGCGGCGGCGCCGGCGACCUGCCCGUCCACGUCCACAGGGAGUGGGACCGGCGGUGCGAGCGGAAGGAGAGGGAGACGAGCGACGAGGCCCAGCCGGAGGCGGCGGACGAGACGUAGCUGGCGGAGGCGGUGCUGAGCCUGCUCCACGCGCGGCCGAUGUGGCGCGUCGAGUUGGCGAGGAAGGCGCAGGAGCGGACGAAGGAGCGCGGGACGAGGGAGCGGCUGCGGCGGAUGUUCCAGAUGACCAUGACCCGGCGGCGCGGGAAGGCGAGCGGGACCACCUUGCGGCGGCGUACGCGCGAGCUCCGGCGGAGGACCCAGAUGGCGUGGCGGCAGAAGAAGUACUAGACGCACGAGAAGGCCCAGUAGACGAUGGACGUCCACGACGCGUACCAGCCGAAGCGUUCCCUCAAGCCGUCCAAGCGGCUGCAGCGGCAGCACGACCUCGUGGUGGCGGCCUAGUCCCUGGUCGAGGCUGCCUAGUCGGUGGCCAUGGCCGCGAAGUAUUAGAAGACGGAGCACGAGCAGUGGCGGUCGGUCAAGAGGCGGGACGAGCGGUGGUGGUCCGGUGUACGCGCCUAGUUAUAGCGGUGGCGGCCGCUCGAGCGCGAGACGAGUCACUCGGAGCACCGCCCAGACGACCAGACGGAGGUGUCGCGCCGGUUCUAGUGCGUGUUCUGCGUCCGGUAGUGCUCGCACCGCCGCCGCACCGUGCGCCUGCGGUGGUAGGUGCGGAAGCUGUUGCUGGACCUCCUGGGGCUGGGGCGGGACGGGCGGCGGUGGCCGAUGGACCGCGGCCGGUUGCGGAUGGCCCACCGGGGGCCGCUCUUCAGGCUGCCGAUGCCGCUGCGGCGGCUGCUGCUGCUGUUGUACUCGCUCCCGAGGUAGCUGCUGAGGUUCGAGCACGGGAAGGUCCAGUUGUUGUACACGAAGGUCUUCUCCGUCCGUGACCCAUUCGCGUGUAGUUGCGGUCGAAUCGAAGAACAACCAACGAUUACCGCCGGCCACAAAUGAAAACGUCACUUGAUGGACCUCUUGUUGGCCCGCCCCUAGUGCCACAUGCCGAAGCACCAGCUGGCCUGUACCGACGUGCGCGAGAAGUACUAGCUCAAGAGCGAGCAGUACACCGACGACCCCUUCUGCCAGCCGUAUAGAACUUCCGGGAAACUACGACGGCGGCUAAGAGGGCUGCAGACUACGUCCCCGAGUGGAGCCUACAUGUUUAGCUCGCGUGUAUCAAGUGAUGAAGUCAUAAAGCAGUGCGUAUUUUGUGUGUGUAGCAAGAAAAAACAGGAGGAUUCAUAAUCAACACGUCACAAAAAAAAAGUAAAAAACGCUUUUAAUCAACACGUCACAAAAAAAAAGUAAAAAACGCUUUUAAUCAACACGUCACAAUUCUUUUUCAUAAUCGGCACGUGCAACUAAACUACUUUUCUUAUAUAUACACCG
rnacentral:rRNA from 1 species